GAUGAACGCUAGCGGGAGGCCUAACACAUGCAAGCCGAGCGGUAGAGUCUCUUCGGAGACUUGAGAGCGGCGCACGGGUGCGGAACACGUGUGCAACCUGCCUUUAUCUGGGGGAUAGCCUUUCGAAGGGAAGAUUAAUACCCCAUAAUAUACUGGAUGGCAUCAUCUGGUAUUGAAAACUCCGGUGGAUAGAGAUGGGCACGCGCAAGAUUAGAUAGUUGGUGAGGUAACGGCUCACCAAGUCAGCGAUCUUUAGGGGGCCUGAGAGGGUGAUCCCCCACACUUGUACUGAGGCACGGACCAGUCUGCUACGGAGGGCAGCGGUGAGGAACAUUGGGGGAUGGGUCAGGGCCUGAUCAAGCCAUCCCGCGUGAAGGACGACUGCCCUAUGGGUUGUAAGCUUCUUUUGUAUAGGGAUAAACCUAGAUACGAGUAUCUAGCUGAAGGUACUAAACGAAUAAGCACCGGCUAACUCCGUG
rnacentral:rRNA from 1 species